rnacentral:lncRNA from 1 species
UGAAGCUUCACAACUUACAGCAGGGAGAAGCAGGCGAGGCUGCCAAGGGUCACGGAAGGAUGGUGGCUCCAUCCAUCUCAGCAGCUUCCAGAGUAGCUCGUGGAAAGCUACAGCAUCACACCCUCGACUGCAGCAUCCACAACCACUGGGUACAAAGCAGCCUCAUGGUUGCCAACAGACUGAAGUGCUCGCCUUGCUAUGGGAUAAGUGUCAUCAGCACUCUGGAGAAGCAGCCAUAGCUGCUCUCAAGCUUCCAAUGGUGGUGGCUGGCUUUGACCAGCUCAGCUGUAUUGUCAGACCCAACCUGUGCCAUCAGGACCUGCAACUGUGGAAAAUUUCACUAAACAAGUUACAAUUGUGUUUUCAGAUGUCAUGGUUUGGUUUAGUCAGGCUGGCAGGGAUUCAGUUUUAUAUGCAUGUGUUUCUUUCAAAAU